rnacentral:lncRNA from 1 species
AUUAUAUUUCUUUACAUGUAGGUAAAUGUUGUCACUUUUAAAAAAAUUGUAAACUCAACACAGUUUUAAUCAUUUUAUAGUUCAUAACUUUUUUGUUUUGCACCAUUGAAAAUAUCUACAGCUUUUUCUUGUUCAAAGAAUUAACUGUCAUCGUUGUAUGAAUUUCAUCAAUGCAUCCAAAUUUGAUUAAGUCAUCAUCCACAGCAAAUUGCAAAAAUCACUCUUAGUCCUGAAUCUUCUCUCUUCUACUGUUGAUAGUAGAAUUAGCAAGCAAUAGUAGUGUAAUGUAAUCUUAAGGGCUAGAGUUAUAGCUCUGAAGAUCAUUGUAAAUAUCAGUUUCAUGUAUACACUUCAUGAAUGGUU